CACACACACACAUUCACUGACAGAUACGCAUACACUCGCUAACAGAAACACACACACACUAACAGACACACUCACACUCAAUAACAGACACACACUCACUGACACACAGACUCACAGGCAAACACACUCACACUAACAGACACACACACAGUCAGACACACACACAUACAGACACACACACACACUCACUAGCAGACACACACACUCACUGACACACAGUCAGACACACACAUACACACUAACAGACAAACACAGUCAGACACACACACUAACAGACACACACUCACUCACUAGCAGACACACACUAGCAGACACACACACACUCACACUCACACAGUCAGACACACACACACUAACAAACACACAUUAACAGACACACACUCACUGACACACACACACCCAGGCAAACACACUCACACUAACAGACACACACACAGUCAGACAUACACACUAACAGACACACACACUAACAGACACACACACACUCACACACACUAACAGACAAACACACACUCACUAGCAGACACACACACACACACAGGCAAACACACACUCACUGACACACAGUCAGACACACACAUACACACUAACAGACACACACAGUCAGACACACACUAACAGACACACACUCACUCACUAGCAGACACACACACUCACACAGUCAGACACACACUAACAAAACACACACACAUUAACAGACACACUCACAGACAUAUACACACACUCACUCACUCACAUUAACACAUUUUUAUU